rnacentral:rRNA from 1 species
UACAGAGGGCUCAAGCGUUGUUCGGAUUCAUUGGGCGUAAAGGGCGCGUAGGCGGCGUCGUAAGUCAGGUGUGAAAUCUCGGGGCUCAACCCCGAAACUGCACUUGAUACUGCGAUGCUCGAGUACUGGAGAGGAGAUUGGAAUUUACGGUGUAGCAGUGAAAUGCGUAGAUAUCGUAAGGAAGACCAGUGGCGAAGGCGAAUCUCUGGACAGUUACUGACACUGAGGCGCGAAGGCCAGGGGAGCAAACGGG